rnacentral:misc_RNA from 1 species
UGAUUGACAUGGGACAUGAAGCAAUCAGCGCUGCGGAGUAUACCGGUAUUGCCCGAGUUACAAACUUUAUCUAUGGAAUAAAACUAGCUGAUGUAUUCCGGUAAGUCUCUCUCUCUCUCUCUCUCUCUCUCUCUCUCUCUCUCUCUUAUUACGCGAUUAGUGAUUUUCUCCCGAUGGUUUAAAAUAACAGACACCACAAUCAAGCAAAAUGGCUGAAGACCUGGGGAGAACAAUGGGGGAUGCCUAACUCCAAUGACGCUGUUGUUUUCAUCGAUAACCAUGACAACCAGAGGGGACACGGCGGAGGAGGCGGUGUUCUGACAUUUUUCGAACCUCGAUCAUACAAAAUGGCGACUGAGUUCAUGUUGGCUCAUCCUUACGGCUUUACGCGUGUGAUGAGUAGCUACCACUGGAACAGAGACUUUCAUGGAGGGGAGGAUCACAACAAUUGGCAGGGCCCCCCUCACAACGGGGACAUGAGCAUCAAAGGUCCCGCCAUACAGUCAGAUAUGUCGUGUAGUAAUGGAUGGAUUUGUGAGCACAGAUGGCGUCAAAUAUACAACAUGGUUGCCUUCCGUAACGUUGUCAUGGGAACGACAUUGACAAAUUGGUGGGACAACGGUGACUACGCCAUCGCUUUCUCUAGAGGAAACAAGGGUUUUAUCGUCAUCAACGCGGGAACUUCAGAUAUCAAUGUAAACUUACAAACUGGCUUGUCACAAGGAACGUAUUGUGACGUAAUUUCGGGCAAUUAUGAUAAUGGCCGCUGUACCGGAAAUGAAGUUCACGUUGGUGGUGACGGACACGCCCAUUUCCAUAUAAGUUCCGGAAGUGAUGACCCAGUGGUUGCUAUACAUAUAGGUAAAUAUAAGAAAAUUUCUCUAUCAGCGUCUUUUCAUCUUUUGCAUGUUUAUUCUAUUAUGCAUCAAAUGUCAGACCAAAGAAACAAAGAAUGGGAAUGACAACCAUCCAGUGUGUAUGUCUGAAGGGUUAUUGACAUAAUGCAUUAAAGUAUUUAAGAAUUCAAAGACAAAUUCAACUUCUUAUUCAAGAAUGGGAACAGAUAUGGCCAUUAGUUACAUUUGUAAUCGUUUGUAGACAAAGGAGUAUGUUGUUAAUCCACAUGAAUAUCUAAAUCAUAAAAUAUCUUCAAUCCCUUUUUUAGGUGCACAGAAAGGUUCGGCAAAGAAGGUGACGACAUAACAUAUUAAGGGAAGACUGAAGUGUUUCGUGUGUCAUAAAUCCACUUUUUGUUUGUUUUUUAAUAAUUUAAUAAGAUAAAACAAAAUGUACCUUU